UUUUUUUUUUUUUUUUUCUUUCGUUCAUAUUUGUGCAUGCCCCUUAUUGGUUGGACUGGUCCAUCACUAAGCUAAUGGAUCUGGUCCAACCAAUUAUUUUUCCUCUCCGUUCGCUAGAUCGCUGAAUACAAAACAAACAAAGCUCGAUCGAUCACACUGAAUCUCCUCGCUUGGCGAAUGGAUCCAUAUCUAGGUGGAUUCAUAGCAAGGACUGAUUGGUGGCUUUGCUUGCUAGGCAAAGAGAGAUGGCAGGAGCGAGCAGAUUGGUGAGGACUAGUGGAGCACUCCAAUCCAAUCACGUAUCUCCUUCCUCUUGUUGGAGGUCCAUUGUUUGUCAUGCUUGUACUAAGAUCAUAUUCCUAAUUUAUCCUUAUAUCCUGUUCCAAUUCUAGUUAAAAUAGUUUGUCUUGCAAAACUUGAUUGGCUCAGUUUUGUGUUUCAUUGAGAUAAUCAAUGCCCUGCAUCUCUGAGUAAUGCGGUUACUCA